UGUAUCACUGAUGAUAACUUGGCUCCCUUUGCUGAAGUUGUGAGGAAAAUGCCAUUGUUACCCAAUUUCUGUCUGAGAUACA
rnacentral:snoRNA from 1 species